rnacentral:rRNA from 1 species
GACGAACGCUGGCGGCGUGCUUAACACAUGCAAGUCGAACGGAAAGGCCCUGCUUUUGUGGGGUGCUCGAGUGGCGAACGGGUGCGUAACACGUGAGUAACCUGCCCUUGUCUUUGGGGUAACUUCAGGAAACUGGGGCUAAUAUCGGAUAGGAGCUCCUGCUGCAUGGUGGGGGUUGGAAAGUUUCGGCGGGUGUGGCUGGACUCGCGGCUUAUCAGCUUGCUGGUUGGGUAGUGGCUUACCCAGCCAUUGACGGGUACGCGGCAUGUGAGGGUGACCGGCCACAAGGGGACUGAGAGACGGCGCAGACUCCUACGGGGGGCAGCGGUGGGGAAUAUUGCACAGCGGGAGGGAGCCUGAUGCGGCAGCGCCGCGGGCGGGAUGACGGCCUGCUGGGUGAAAACCGCAUUCGGCUGUGACGAAGCGGGAGUGACGGUAACGGAUGAAGAAGCACCGGCUAACUACGUG